UUGUUGUAGUCUCUGUUAUUGGUAAUGGUGAGAGGUUAGCAUGUUUUGUUGUAGCCUCUAACUUUCUCACUCACAAAUUCUCAUUUGCAACUGCGACCUGGCCUAGAUAAAGCAUAGCAAUUCGACACAUACAACAACACAGAGUUACAUAUGUAAUAAAGUCACAGAGGAAGGCUGUGCUUCUCUGGUCUCAGCUCUGAGGUCAAACCCCUCACACCUGAGAGAGCUGGACCUGAGCUACAAUCACCCAGGAGACUCAGGAGUCAGACUGCUCUCUGCUGGACUGGAGGAUCCACACUGCAGACUGGAGAAACUCAAUGUGGAACAUGGUGGAGAGAACAGAAUGAAUCCUGGACUUAGAAAAUAUGUCUGUGAUCUCACACUGGACCCAAACACAGUAAACAGACUCCUCUCUCUGUCUGAGGAAAACAGAAAGGUGACAUGGAGGAGAGAGAAGCAGCCGUAUCCUGAUCACCCAGAGAGAUUUGAGGACUGUAGACAGGUGCUGUGUAGAGAGGGUCUGACUGGGCGCUGUUACUGGGAGGUAGAGUGGAGUGGGUACAGGAUUGGGAGAAGGGCUGAUAUAGGAAUGACAUAUAAAGGAAUCAACAGGAGAGAAAGAGGAGGGGUUAAGGACUGUUGGCUUGGAUACAAUGACAAGUCCUGGAGUCUGUUCUGCUCUGACAACAGUUACUCUGCAUGUCACAAUAAUUAUCCCACUACCAUAGACGUCCCCUCCUCCAGCCCCCACAGAGUAGGAGUGUAUCUGGACUGGCCAGCUGGAACUCUGUCCUUCUAUAGAGCCUCCUCUGACACACUGACCCACCUGAACACAUUCACCUCCACAUUCACUGAGCCCCUCUAUCCAGGGAUUGGGGUUCAUGAUGUUGACUCUUCAGUGUCCCUGAAAUAAUAACCCACACACACACACACACUGGACACACACACACACACACACACACACACACACACACACACACACACAUACACACUGGACACACACACACACACACACUGGACACACACACACACACACACCUACACGUUGGACACAAACACAAACACACACACACACACACACACACACACACACACACACACACACUGGACACACACAUGCACACUGGACACACACAAAUACACAUGCUGGACACACACACACAUGCUGGACACACACACUGGUAAAACACACACACUCUCACACACAUUCUGGACACACACACACACACACUGGAAACACACACACUGUAAACAGACACACACACACACUGGAUACAGACACACACACACACUGACACUCUCACACACACUGGACACACACACACUGGAUGGACAGAAGACUGGAUGGACACACAUUGGACACGCGCACUGGACACACACAUACACUCAACGCACACACUGGACACACACACUGGACACGCACACUGGACAUGCACACUGGACACACACACACACACACACACACGCGUCUUCCUAUAAUUGUUAGGACCUUCAUGAAAAAAUAGCAAUGCAUCGGACACAAAUAAACACACACUGUAAUUGUAAUUGGCUUGUAAUGACACACACAUUAUUAUUCCCUGAAAUAAUCACCUGACCUGACACACAAACACACAUACACUGGAAACACACACACACUGGAAACACACACUGGAAACAUACACUGGACACACACACACACACACUGGACAGAUACUGGACACACACACACCUGACACACACACUGGAUACACACACACACACACACUGGACAGACACACACACAAGCACACACACUGACAAACACACACUUACAAACACACCCUUUGACACACAUGAACUGACACACACACACACACAUUGGACACACACACACACACACACAUUGGACACACACAUUCAACACACUGCCUGUUAAAUCAGUUUCUGGACCACAGGUUCUAGAACAGCUUCUAUCCCAGUUCUAUCUGCCUGUUAAAUCAGUUUCUGGAUCACAGGUUCUAGAACAGCUUCUAUCCCAGUUCUAUCUGCCUGUUAAAUCAGUUUCUGGACCACAGGUUCUAGAACAGCUUCUAUCCCAGUUCUAUCUGCCUGUUAAAUCAGUUUCUGGAUCACAGGUUCUAGAACAGCUUCUAUCCCAGUUCUAUCUGCCUGUUAAAUCAUCAACCUAAAAUGUGAGAGAGCUCCAACAAGGAAUUACAUUGUAUGUAUUACUUUUAAUACCUGCAAAUGGCAAAUAAACUACUAGAACUCCUUAUGAAUGUCUGCAGGCGACUAGACUGUUGGCGUCUGACAGGAGGUGAAAAUAUUACAGGAAUAUUCUGCAAAUGUUGAUGAAGACGUCACUCAAUCCACCCAAAACAACAUGCAGUCUUUCCACAAGACUCCCAUGAAGUUAUAGUGUGACGUUAUGAGUUGACGUUAAAGUAACAUUCUCAGAACAUACUGCACUUGUUUUAUACUGUUUUAGAUGGAUCCUCUGUUUAUCAUCUUGUUUUAUACUGUUUUAGAUGGAUCCUCUGUUUAUCAUCUUGUUUUAUACUGUUUUAGAUGGAUCCUCUGUUUAUCAUCUUGUUUUAUACUGUUUUAGAUGGAUCCUCUGUUUAUUAUCUUGUUUUAUACUGUUUUAGAUGGAUCCUCUGUUUCAACAUUUAAACUCUUAAAUUUAAACAAUUAAACAAUUAAACUCUUAAUGUAAACAAUUUAAACAAUAACACCGUUAAAAUACCAAUGUGAUCAUUUGUUGUACGUCUUUUAUGUUGAAUAACAAAUAGUACAAUUAUAUAUGGACAUACGCUCCACAUACACUGCUGAUGUCGCAGAAAGGCCAUAAAGAUCAUCAAGGCCAACAUCCACCCGAGCCACUGCCUGUUCACCCCGCUAUCAUCCAGAAGGAGAGGUCAGUACAGGUGCAUCAUCACCACCCGAGCCACUGCCUGUUCACCCCGCUAUCAUCCAGAAGGAGAGGUCAGUACAGAUGCAUCAUCACCACCCGAGCCACUGCCUGUUCACCCCGCUAUCAUCCAGAAGGCGAAGUCAGUACAGGUGUAUCAAAGCAGGGACCGAGAGACUGAAAAACAGCUUCUAUCUCAAGGCCAUCAGACUGUUAAACAGCCACCACUAACAUUGAGUGGCUGCUGCCAACAUACUGACUCAACUCCAGCCACUUUAAUAAUGGGAAUUGAUGGAAACAAAUGCAUCACUAGCCACUCUACAAUGCCACUUAAUAUAAUGUUUACAUACCCUACAUUACUCAUCUCAUAUGUAUAUACUGUACUCGAUACCAUCUACAGCAUCUUGCCUAUGCCGUUCUGCACCAUCACUCAUUCAUGUAUGUUUAUGUACAUACUCUUUAUCCCUUUACACUUGUGUAUAUAAGGUCAUUGUUGUGAAAUCGUUAGGUUAGAUUACUCGUUGGUUAUUACUGCAUUGUCGGAACUAGAAGCACAAGAAUUUCGCUAACCUCGCAUUAACAUCUGCUAACCAUGUGUAUGUGACAAAAAAAAUGUGAUUUUAGUUUAUUUAGUUGUACAAGUAUACAAGAAUAUAUUGUAUUUUUCAUAAUAAAACAUAA